CUUGCAAACUAAAGAUGGCGAUCGGCGCACGGGUGAGUAACACGUAUCCAACCUGCCGAUAACUCGGGGAUAGCCUUUCGAAAGAAAGAUUAAUAUCCGAUGGUAUAUUAAAACCGCAUGGUUUUACUAUUAAAGAAUUUCGGUUAUCGAUGGGGAUGCGUUCCAUUAGUUUGUUGGCGGGGUAACGGCCCACCAAGACUACGAUGGAUAGGGGUUCUGAGAGGAAGGUCCCCCACAUUGGAACUGAGACACGGUCCAA
rnacentral:rRNA from 1 species